rnacentral:rRNA from 1 species
AACGAACGCUGGCGGCAGGCUUAACACAUGCAAGUCGAGCGCCCCGCAAGGGGAGCGGCAGACGGGCGAGUAACGCGUGGGAAUCUACCCAUCUCUACGGAAUAACGCAUGGAAACGUGUGCUAAUACCGUAUACGUCCUUCGGGAGAAAGAUUUAUCGGAGAUGGAUGAGCCCGCGUUGGAUUAGCUAGUUGGUGGGGUAAAGGCCUACCAAGGCGACGAUCCAUAGCUGGUCUGAGAGGAUGAUCAGCCACACUGGGACUGAGACACGGCCCAGACUCCUACGGGAGACAGCAGUGGGGAAUAUUGGACAAUGGGCGCAAGCCUGAUCCAGCCAUGCCGCGUGAGUGAUGAAGGCCCUAGGGUUGUAAAGCUCUUUCACCGGUGAAGAUAAUGACGGUGACCGGAGAAGAAGCCCCGGCUAACUUCGUGCCAGCCGCCGCCGUAAUAC